rnacentral:rRNA from 1 species
GACGAACGCUGGCGGUGUGCUUAACACAUGCAAGUCGAACGGUAAGGCCCUUUCGGGGGUACACGAGUGGCGAACGGGUGCGUAACACGUGAGUAACCUGCCCUCAUCUCUGGGAUAACAGUCGGAAACGGUUGCUAAUACUGGAUAUGAGCCUGCAAGGCAUCUUGUGGGUUGGAAAGAUUUUUUGGUUGGGGAUGGACUCGCGGCCUAUCAGCUUGUUGGUGAGGUAGUGGCUCACCAAGGCGUCGACGGGUAGCCGGCCUGAGAGGGCGACCGGCCACAUUGGGACUGAGAUACGGCCCAAACUCCUACGGGAGGCAGCAGUGGGGAAUAUUACACAAUGGACGGAAGUCGGAUGCAGCAACGCCGCGGGCGGGAUGACGGCCUUCGGGUUGUAAACCGCUUUCAAUUGUGACGAAGCUUUUUGUGACGGUAGCAGUAGAAGAAGCACCGGCUAACUACGUG